GACGAACGCUGGCGGCGUGCUUAACACAUGCAAGUCGAACGGAAAGGCCCUGCUCUUGUGGGGUGCUCGAGUGGCGAACGGGUGAGUAACACGUGAGUAACCUGCCCUUGACUUUGUGAUAACUUCAGGAAACUGGGGCUAAUACCGGAUAGGAGCUCCUGCUGCAUGGUGGGGGUUGGAAAGUUUCGGCGGUUGGGGAUGGACUCGAGGCUUAUCAGCUUGUUGGUGGGGUAGGGGCUUACCAAGGCUUUGACGGGUAGCCGGCAUGAGAGGGUGACCGGCGACAUUGGGACUGAGAUACGGCCCAGACUGCAACGGGAGGCAGCAGUGGGGAAUAUGGCACAGUGGGCGGAAGCCUGAUGCAGCAACGCCGCGUGCGGGAUGACGGCCUACGGGUGGUAAACCGCUUUCGCCUGUGACGAAGCGUGAGUGACGGUAAUGGGUAAAGAAGCACCGGCUAACUACGUG
rnacentral:rRNA from 1 species